rnacentral:miRNA from 1 species
CUAGGGAUCUUAUUAAAGUGUGGGUCUGGGAGUGGCCUGAGAUUCUGCAUUUUUAACAAGCUCCUGGAUGAUG